AGUGAACGCUGGCGGUAGGCCUAACACAUGCAAGUCGAACGGCAGCACAGUAAGAGCUUGCUCUUACGGGUGGCGAGUGGCGGACGGGUGAGGAAUACAUCGGAAUCUACUUUUUCGUGGGGGAUAACGUAGGGAAACUUACGCUAAUACCGCAUACGACCUACGGGUGAAAGCAGGGGAUCUUCGGACCUUGCGCGAUUGAAUGAGCCGAUUUCGGAUUAGCUAGUUGGCGGGGUAAAGGCCCACCAAGGCGACGAUCCGUAGCUGGUCUGAGAGGCUGGUCAGCCACACUGGAACUGAGACACGGUCCAGACUCCUACGGGAGGCAGCAGUGGGGAAUAUUGGACAAUGGGCGAAAGCCUGAUCCAGCCAUACCGCGUGGGUGAAGAAGGCCUUCGGGUUGUAAAGCCCUGUUGUUGGGAAAGAAAAGCAGCAGGUUAAUACCCCGCUGUUCUGACGGUACCCAAAGAAUAAGCACCGGCUAACUUCGUG
rnacentral:rRNA from 1 species